ensembl:lncRNA LINC01517 long intergenic non-protein coding RNA 1517
CAGGGAUGAAGAGCAUGAAUGCGAAUGUACAGCACUGAGCUCGCGUCUGCCACAUGAGAUGGGCCUCUUUCUGUCGCCCAGGCUGGAGUGCAAUGGUGUGAUCAUAGCUCACUGCAGCCUCAACCUCCUGAGCUCAAAUAGUCCUCCUGCCUCAGCUUCCUGAGUUGCGACUACAGCCAUGAACCACUGCAUCCAGUUCAGCCCUCAGAGCCUGCAGAGGUGGCUCAUCCUUCCCUGUUAUGAUCUGAAACUACCCAUAUGGGCCAACACCACAGAGUUCUGUCCCCACGGGCCAAGGAGGGCUUCUCAGGAUCCUCAACUUCUUGCCUGGUUGCCAGACCAAUCACUAGAGGUAAGCCUAGAAUUGUACGAUUGGAACUCAAUGACGUUCACGCUAUUCUUAGAAACAGUUGAGCCAGUGGCGGUGGAGUCUGAAGGCUCUGGAAUCUUUUCCUUCGUGUGGCAGCAACUUAUUUUUCCUGCGGAGGCUCGGUGGUGCUUUUCUUGGGCUCAGGAUUGCGGCUUGGAUGGCUCAUUCCCUGGGAGUGCACACACUGAGCCCUUUGGAAAGGCAGCAGCAGGACAAGGAUCAGUGGCAGGCAAAGAGGCAAAAAAAGCAGGACCCGGGUUCCAUAGGCAACUGCUUUAUUUACAGUUCCAAAAACGGUGCUUGUUCAACUAUCCUGAACUUUUGUAGAAGUUCAAACUUGGAAAUUGUAGUGAUGAAAUGAGAGCUGUGUUUUAAAAAUUACUUUUAACUGUCUAUGAAGCAAGUCUACAUUUUGGCAAAAUGGGCUGCUUUUAAUCUGGUCAUGUGGGAUUUAAAAAAAGAUUUAAUUCAGCUGGAUUUUGCAAAGCCCUUGCAUUGUAUGACAUGAGGUUAUUUAAGGUAUAGUUUUGUCUUCAAAGAGAAGAAAUAAGACACACGCAUGGAUUUUUAGAGUAAAAAUAACGAGAGAAUGUUAUUACCCAAGAGCAUAUAUUAGCUCACUUGCAGUGAUGUUGAACUGGGAACAUUCCAGAAGGAUUCCACGUGAAGCAGUGUUUGCAUUUGUAUGUUUGAAAUGCUCCAUAACAAAAUUGAAAAACUGUAAGAGCAAAAUAAAUAAUAAUACGGAUUAUGAAGUAAUUAAAAUGAAGCAGAGAAAAAACCUGUAGGAUGCAGCCUAAAUAAAUGAUACUUUAAAUCAAGCUUAUCCAACCCGUGUCUUGUAGGCCACAAUGUGGCCUAGGACAUAUUUGAAUGCGGCCCAACACAAAUUCGUAAACUUUCUUAAAAUAUUGUGAGACUUUUUUUUUUUUUUUAGUUCAUCAGCUAUCAUUAGUGUUAGUGUAUUUUACGUGUGGCCCAAGACAAUUCUUCUUCUUCUGAUGUGGCCCAGGGAAGCCAAAAGACUGGCCACCUCUGGUUCAAAUAAACAUUUACAGCCUCAGUCACAUAUAUUAGAAAAUGAAAAAGACUGAAAAAUUUGCCAGCUACUUGCUUGACACAGUACAACAGAAAAACAACAGCAAAGCAAGCAGAAAGAAGGCAGAAGAAGGAAGGAAACCAUAAAGAUAAGGAGAGCAAUUAAUGAGCUAGAAAACAAAGUAAUAAUGCAGAAAUCAACCCAACUAAAAGCCGGUUCCUUGAAAAGAGUGAUAAAGCCAUCUCUGGCAAGAAUGACCAAGGACGAGAGAAGAAAAAGCAUGAAAAAGAAACAGAGCAUAACUACUGAUGGAGAUUUUAAAGCCUGUAAGAGAAUACUAUGGACAAGUUCCUGACAAUACAUUUGGAAACAGAGAAAUCAGACAAUCUCCUAGAAAAAUAUUAAUUACAAAAACUGAUGAAAGAAAAAGCUGGAAUAUACCUAUAAUCAACAAAAGAAGUGAAUCAAGUUAAUAAUCUACAGCCUUCCUUCCCCGGAUGCCUCCCUCUCCAAAAAACAGGCCAGACACAGCCAAGUUUACAAAAUCUUCAAAGAACAGAUAAGCACUACUUUGUAUAAACUUUUUCAAAGAAUAGAAAAAGGACAACUUCCCACAUCAUUUUGUAUGCAUAACCUUGAUAAUAAAACUGAACAAAUAAAAUAGAGUGUAGCAAAAUUAUAGGUCAUUGUUAAUUAUGAAAUGAGUGUAAUGAUCUUAAAUAAAAUAUUAGUAAACCAAA